GACUUGUCCUUCCAUAGCUGCCUUGGGUCUGUGACACACAUUUAGAAAGGGGGUCUGUGUGCAAUCUGUGCUCACAACACUGAGAAAAACUAAUUGCGUCCAAUUUAAUUCCCCAGCUUCCAAGAAAUUAAUGGUGCAUUUGACUUCAAUGCCAUCUAAUUCCCAGCUCCAGUUCCACUUUCAACGGCCUCAACAUGUAAUAAAUAACAUAACUUAUUCUCAUAAGCUUUCCAAAGUCCCGUGAAGUAGUCCUUUUUUCAUUUAGCUUAGACUCCUCAAAAUACAAGUCAGUAUAUAUUUGAGUAUACCUUUUUUAUAAGACACUGGAAGGAAAGAGUAAGCUUUGAGUGUUGGCUUGAGAAAUUUUAAAAGUUAGUUUCCCACAAUAGAUGCCUGGUCUUUGCUCCUGUUAGAUUAAUAAUUCACUUGUUUAAGCCAGAUUACAAAUAGGUUCAGUAACAGAUAUUUUCUAAAAAAUGAGACACAGCUAAGGAAAUCCUCUUCUCCAAAAUUUACUUGUCUUAUUCUCAGUAUCUCAGGAAAACAAAGACAGAAACCAGGUAUCCUUUCAGAAAGAGCAGAUUUAAAGUCAUGUGUAAAUUAUCUUUUUUUUUUUUUUCUUUUUCUGGCUGCAAAUAAGUUUAUUGUUUUCAUUUGGUGCAAGGCUUGGGAGAGGGCUCCAGGGUGGUUAAAAAGCUACCUAGUGGCUGCAGGGAGGGGCUUCAGGCUGCAGCCCUGACACCAGGGGGACUUCUCAAAGACUGCUGGGCUCCGGAAGCUCCUGGUGAACCUUUCAAAGAGAGAUUCGCCCAGCCCAUCCAGGGGACCAGCCAGCCUGCGGAGAGAGUCUUACCUGCUGAGACAAAGAUCCAACCUGUCCUUCUGGCUCAACUGAUAAAAAUACAUACAAGGUGAAGGAAAUAAAGCCAAAGGGAAGAAGCAAUUUACUCAGUAACAUAAAGUUGACCAGUGGCAGAGUCAGGAUAAAAGACCAGAAUUUCUAAGUCCUUAGUGAUUGUUCUUUCUACCAUACUCUUCUUUGUAUUCUGUCAUUUUCACUGUUGAUUGAUCAGCAGUGAACUGUAAUCAUCUCCAUCCCUAGAACUUUGUCCAUGUGACUUCAUGCCUGCAAGGUCUCUAAUAGAGCAACUGCUUAAACUAGCCUCAACAGCUUUAAUCCACAUCCACUUAUCUAUCUGAGUUCCCACAGUACUUAUUGCCUGUACCACAUAUUUAGAAUUUUAAUGCAAAUAAAUAUGGAUUAUUUUGCAAUAA